ACUUCCAACCUUGCUCAUUCAAGAGCCAACACUUGCACCACCUCCUCCUGGAAGCUUAGAACCUUUCUCCAAACUAGGAUUAUUCCCUCCUAAGACCUCUCACAUCUUUUAGCUUGUGCCUUUUUUGCAGGUGCUUUGAUUCCACUUGUACUUCAACCAUCUGUGAGCUACUUCUAUUCUCUUUAGGAGACUGGCAACUCCCUAAAGGCAGAGCAUGAAUUGGGGGAUAAUUGGCCACCAUUACUGAGUGUCUACUUUGCCUUGCUCUGCACCUGUGGAUCCUCCGAACAAGGAAGCUUAGUUCUUCUUCUGCCCAUUUUGUAGGGGAGGAAACAGUGGAAACUCAGAGGUGCAGACAUUUGCCUAAGGAUAUACAGAAGAUAAGGAGCAGAGCUGACAUCAGAACUCAAGCUUGCAAAUGUGUAUGCGGGCCACCAUGCCACAUCUGCCACCUCUCUCACAGCACUGCUGGGGGAACAGGAGAAGCAUUGGAGGUGGCAGGCUUUGCCUUACUACACAUGGCAUAUGCAUUUUAAAUAAGGACUUUGAUCUGGAAGCAGGAGAGCAUAUUUAUUGCCUCAACUCAGCUUGAUUUGGGCUCUUCUGUCCCACAAAUGACACCAACCCUCACUGGCCUGAAGACCUUGCCUGAAAGAGAAAGAGCAGUGGCAUGAAGUCAGAAGAGGUGCGUUUACCUGCCAGCUUUGCCUCUGUCUGUGUUCUCUCCCUGAGCCUCAGGAAUCGCACUUCAGUAAUGGUUUUGCUAUGAGAAUUUGGAAGCAGCACGUGUAAAAACCCUAGCUCAGAUUGGGUACUAGAUAGACAUCAGCAGUGAAGAUUCACUGAGUUUGCCCCAGGGCAGGCAGUGGAACGGGUACAUUAAUGCAUAUCCCAAAUCCUCACAGCCACCCAGAGGUAGAUCCUGUUACUGUCAUCACAGCUACCUGAUCAGAAAACUGAAGUUCCAAACACAAGAACUGCAUUGCGAGUGGAUUUUCAACCCAGAAAUGCACUUUGAAGAGACAUGCGUUCGUAAGAGGUCGCUCCUGAGAAUGUGACAGAAAUCACUGUGCCACCUGGCUUUCUUCUUUGUGAGUCUAUAUCUAGGAGUGGACUAGACUGAUGCUCUGUGGUAUUAUUCUAACCAACAGCAGGCCAGGCAUGUUGGCUCAUGCCUGUAAUCCCAGCACUUUGGGAGGCUGAGGCGGGUGGAUCACGAGGUCAGGAGAUCGAGACCAUCCUGGCUAACACAGUGAAAUCCUGUCUCUACUAAAAAUACAAAAAAUUAGCUGGGUGGUGGCAGGUGCCUGUGGUCCCAGCUACUCGGGAGGCUGAGGCAGGAGAAUGGCAUGAACACGGGAGGCAGAGCUUGCAGUGAGCGGAGAUUGCACCACUGCACUCCAGGCUGGGCAACAGAGCGAGACUCCGUCUCAAAAAAAAAAAAAAAAAAACAAAAAAACCAAACCAACAGCAUUUAUUGAAUACCAAUGUAAGUUUGGCUCGAUGGAGCCAGGGGCUGGGGAGUUGAAGAAAACCUGGUACUGCAGAAAGGAGCUCACAUCCCAGUUGGGGAGGCAGGAAGCUCUGGCCUGAAUAAACCAGGGAUUGAAGAGACAAGCACAGCCUGUGAGUAUCCCCAGGGAGUUAUUCCUCCAGACUGUGGGGAUCUGGGGAUACUUUCUGGAGGAGGUGGCGUGUUCAGAGUCCCCCAAACAUGAGUGAGUCUGCUACUGACAGAGAUAGGGAGAAAGGCAUCCCAGGUAGAGGGAACAACAAAGGAAUGGCUGUGCUAUGCAAUUUGUGAAACACUCAUGGCGAGCAGCGGCUCUCAAACUCGAGUCAGCAUUGGAAUCGCCUGGUGGGUGCAUUAAAACACAGACUACUGCACCCCGCGCCAGCACCAGAGUUCCCAACUUGGGCAGUCUGGAGAGCAGCCUAUGAGUUUGCAUUCUAACAAGUCCCCAGGUGCUGUUGCUGCUGUUGGUCCACAUGGGAAGAAGACAUUGUAGAGGAAGCAGAUAGGUUGGAUGGAGCCAAAGCAUGGAGGAAUGUGAGCACCCAUCUGGUGCAUCACUCACUGGCUAUAGCCAUCAAUGUGUUCAUUCAGUCCUUUACUGAGCAAGCAGCACCUCUGAGCCCUACUGUGUGCUAGUACAGUGAUGGACUCUAGGUAUACAGCGAUGAAUACAACAGUCUGGGUUUUGCCAUAUCUUUACCCUGCUGAGGCUCUCAGAGGAGGAUGGAUGACAUUCCACGUGAUGACACAGGCUGAUGACCCUCUGGGCAUCCAGGCACAGAAGGCAGGGGCUCUGGAGGUGAAAGUUGCCUUCACUCUCAUGGCCCUUUAACGAAAGACCUUGUCUUAUCCAUGUUAAAUUCAGUUUGGUUUAAAUGUUUCUUCAUACAUAGUGAACUAUCACCUAACUGGAUGUGUAAACAGGCUAUAACCAACUCUAGUACCAAUCUCUGGGUUUCAGCCAAUCACAGACAGCCAACUCUUCAAACCAUGUUCAAAGAAGGCAAACGCCAAGCUAGAACCCAUCCAGCUGUUUCUGUUCCUUACUUCUGUUUUCCAUAUGUCACUCUCUUUUUUCUGCCCAUAAAUCAUCCUCGACCACGCGGUAGCCUGGAAGCAUCUCUGAACCUAUUCUGUUUUGGGGAUUGCCCAAUUCAAGAACCAUUUUUCACUCAAUUAAAUUCUGUUACAUUUAGUUUUUCUAAGGUUUUUCCUUUAACGCCCAAAACACCCUGUGGUGUUUAAGGGAAGAAUUGCUGCAGAGCUGACUUUCCUAAUAAUGAGGGUGAUUGAGUCUGUUUGUUGCAAUAUAGGGUCUGCUGCUCCAACUGAGACCAAAAACAAUGUGAUGGAAACAAAAGAGUAUUUUAUUUCUCUUUUCAUGCAAUGGUCUGGGCUUGGGAAAUUCCUGGAAGAAAUGUUUGUUUCAUGGGGGCCCUGGCUCCUUCCCCUGUACUUCUCCACCCUCCCUGGGGUGUUGCUUCAUCCAUAGGGUUGGUGAUGAUUUAUGGCCAGGUGCUGCAAUGCAUAACUCGUGGGCAUGUUGCAUAGAACACAAAGAGAGUGGUGUUCUCUGGAGCCAUGCAACACAGUGCUGCCUCUGUGAGGAGAGAAACAGGAAAGGAGUGUGAAGAGGACAUCCCUUCCCUUUUAGGGCUCACCCUGGAAGCUGUGCACCUCACUUCUGCUCACAAACCACAGACUAAAACCAUCCUGUGGCCUCAGCUGGCUGCAAUAGAGGUUGGGAUGUGUCAUCUUUAUUCUUGGCAGUCUUGUAUUCAGCUGAACCCCAGCCACUUAAUGAAUGCAAUCUAUCCUCUUUUACUUCAUUCUUUUAGAGUAAGUUUUGUGUAGCCAUUCUCUCUAAGAUGUCCUACUCCAUCGCCUUGCCUCCCUCCUUUUUUUAUUGAAGAGAUACAGAUAUUUCCUUGUGGACAAUUAUUUUACCCCAUCAAAAUUCUCUGCAAACCUUCUAGAAUUAUAUCCAUUAUUCUCAAUUCUAACUUUUCAGCAGAAUCACUGGAGGGGUGAGGAUGAAGAUAGGGGAGGCUCUUAAUACUGAUGUUCCAGGCUUUUUGCCGGAAAAACCAAUUUAAUUUGUUUGUGGUAGGGUUGAAGCAUCAGGAAUUUUGUAAAGCCCCCACUCAUUGCCCAGGUUUAGUUCUUUUCCCUUAAAGUAUUAGGUUUCGGCUAUUGGCCAGUGAGCUGAAAGUUGAGCCAUAGUGAACAGGAGGUGUGCAAAGGUAUGCAUUGAAAUGUUGAGUAUUGGGUGCACAAAAACUGGGCCUGACAUAAACACUCAGCAUCCACAAGUGCUUGCCACACUGCCUCCGAAAUGGAGCCUCCGUCCUACUGGCCCUCAGGUGUCAACUCUUUGAUAAUUGAUCACCAAGUGUACUGUGAAGAUGCAAUCCACAGCAAGUUUCUCUGUAGUGGGAGGGGAAGGAAGAUAGGUUUAAACAGCAAUGUCAAAAAGAAGGGGGGAAACAAAAGAUAUUCUUUGGUGGUUAUCUGGAGCUGUAAUUUAACUUCCCUCUACAAAGGCUGUAUGCCCUUAAUUAUAGUGGGUUUUCUGUAUUUAUUUAUGUAUGUAUAUGCAUCCAUUUAAUAGUCUGUGUUUAUAGGUUAAUACCCCAAAUGACCCUUUAUUGGGAUAAGACAGAAUCAUUCUUUGAUUCCCUGCAUCCCUGUUCACAUACCCAUUCCUCCAGAUGCUGACUUGCUUGUCCCCUCUUCCUUGAAACAUUCCCCUCAGGCUCCACAUGCACAGUGAAGAAGCAGGCAACAUGGCGUCAGCCAGGUAGAGAACCCAACUGCAUAAUAAAAGAUUAGGGUGAGGCAGCCAGCUUCCUCGCAAGCUAUGCAAACGGCACACCUAGUCCAAACCAGUUCUUCCCUCACUAUGCAAAUGGCAUACCUGCUCCAACCAAUCCUUUGUAUCCUAUGUAAAUCAGACACCAUCUCCUCAAGCUCAUCUGUAAAACCUCUUGCACUUUGCCACAGACUGGAAGACCCACUCAGGAGCCCCUCUCUCUCUGCAGGAGAGAGAACUUUUCUCUUUCUUUCACUUAUUAAACCUCUGCUCUUAACCUCACUCCUUGUGUGUCCACAUCCUUGAUUUCCUUGGCACGAGGGAACGAACCUUGGGUAUUACCCCAGAUGACGACGAUUCUUCACCCCCACUGGUUGUGAAAGAUGAAGAAUGCAGCCCAGAUUGCAGCUGGCAGCCACUUUGUGAUCAGAGGGGAAUGAGCCUGUGGAUGAAGCCAACACAGUGGAGGGAAGGAUGGAGACAUGGAAGAAACUGGGCCUUGUUGAUAGCCAUGGAGAUGCUGAAUCAAGCCUUUCCUGAAGCCCUUUCUAACUGCCAAGAUUUUCAGAUCUUACACGAACAAAUUCCCUUCAUCAUUUAGUCUGGUUGUUGUAUGUAUAUGCUGUUUCUUAUAGCUAAAACCAUUGUAGCUUUUGUGAGAUAUUAUAGUAGGUUCUGGAACAUAGAAGAUACAUGCUCAAGUUAGCUACCAUAUGCCCUAGAGACUGCCAGGGUCAGAAAACCAUGCAUGCCACCAACACAUCUGUCCCUCAGCAUUUUUAUAUAGACAAAAUCAAGUUAAAAUGAAUACCAUGGAUGGUCUUAAGUGGGCACAGAAAUCCUUAGCCUUCUUCAGUAUUAUGGAGGGGGCUAUCUAACCUUUUUUUACUUUCUUGAAGGUAGAGCUGAUUGGGGUGGGCAGUCAGUGGUGCUAGUAUAUAAGCUUUCUGCUUUUUUUCUUUCUCUUUUUAUUUUUAUUACUAUUAUUAUUAUUUUUUUGGCUGCUUCUCUGAGUCACUGCCAAAGAUUGUAGGACAUCUUAUUAUUAAGAUGGGGUGAUUACUGAAAUUAGCUCUAACUUCACAUGGCUCUGCAAGAAUUGGGUGAAGCGUGAACCCUGGAGAUAGUCAUCUCUUUCUCAAGAGUCAGCUACAUGCACACUGGUCUGAAUGUGAUCCUUCACUUUGUCCAAGGGUAGGAAGCAUUAGUCCCUUUGUAAUGAUGAUUAUUUUUGUUUGAGGGUGGGUGGGUAAUUACUUUUGGUGUUCAUAUUCUUUUAUUGAAAAUGAAAAUAUAUUUUAUUUUCUGAUAAUGCCUUAA